AGCGAUUCUCCUGCCUCAGCCUCCCAAGUAGCUAGGACUACAGCUCCCGCAUACCUCCACCUGCCAUAUUGGCCUGCCAUGGUAGGCCAGGGAGAGAGAAAAAGGAAGAAAAGAGAAGAGAAAAGAAAAAUGUGUUGCCUACUGCCCCUGCCUUUAUUGGGAUGGACAGCUGGAGUAAACAUCAUCCAGAAAGACUGGGACUCUGGGUCCUCUCAAACCCAGCACACCCGCACCACGAAUACCAGCCCCCAGCAAGAAACCUCUAAGCACUUUCUUUAAUGCCAGCAUUUCCUGGUUCCAAAUCCGAAGAA
rnacentral:lncRNA from 1 species